AGCAGCCGCGGUAAUUCCAGCUCCAAUAGCGUAUAUUAAAGUUGUUGCAGUUAAAAAGCUCGUAGUUGAAUUUCGGGGUUAGCAGGUCGGUCGUGCCAUCGGUAUGAACUGGUCUCGCUGAUCCCUCCCUCUUGACGAACUGUGAUGCCAUUAAUUUGGUGUCGCAGGGAAUCAGGACUGUUACUUUGAAAAAUUAGAGUGUUUAAAGCAGGCUCACGCUUGAAUACAUUAGCAUGGAAUAAUGAAAUAGGACGUUUGAUCCUAUUUUGUUGGCUUCUAGGAUUGACGUAAUGAUUAAUAGGGAUAGUUGGGGGCAUUAGUAUUCAAUUGUCAGAGGUGAAAUUCUUGGAUUUAUUGAAGACUAACUACUGCGAAAGCAUUUGCCAAGGAUGUUUUCAUUAAUCAAGAACGAAAGUUAGGGGAUCGAAGACGAUCAGAUACCGUCGUAGUCUUAACCAUAAACUAUGCCGACUAGGGAUCGGAUGAUGUUAAUUUUUAAU
rnacentral:rRNA from 1 species